AUGGACAUACUCUCAGCGAGCACUGCCUCCGUCGUGCUGCUACUGUUAUCAUCACUUUGCAGCUUGGUAACGCCGUCCGCCGGCGCCAGGGCGGAGCUCGUGACGUGGGAGUGCAACAACGGCACGUACUACUCUGAGAACAGCACCUACCAGUCCAACGUCCGCACCCUCCUGGCGUCCCUCGCCGCCAACGCCUCCCGCUCGCUGUUCGCAACGGCCGUCGUCGGCGCCGGCCCCGACACGGUGUGGGGCCUUGGGCUCUGCCGCGGCGACGCCACCAACGGCACAGAGUGUGCGUCCUCCUGCCUCGCCCUCGCGCCGGAGGUCGCAUUCGGCAGGUGCAUGGGCGUCAUGGACGUGUCCAUCUUCUACGACCGCUGCACCGUCCGCUACUCCUUCCGGGACUUCCUCACCAACCCGGACAACGGGCAGGUGCAAGCCAAGGGAGCCAGCGACGAUUCCGUGCCCCCCAGCGACGCCGGCCGGUUCGUCGCAAUCAUGGUGAACCUCGUGGCCGCGCUCGCCGACUGGGCCGCGUUCAACACCACGUCCAGGUACGCCGCCGGGGUCAUGGUCUCAGACCAGGGAUUCCCGGUCACCACCAGCAAGGAGGUGGUGCACAACAUCAACGGGAUGGUGCAGUGCACACCGGACCAGGCGCCGGGCCCGUGCCGCGCGUGCCUCCAGGGGCUCAUCGACGAGAUGCCGGCGUUGUUCUUCAACGGCAACGUCGGAGGGAGGAUCCUCGCCAUAUGGUGCAGCCUCAGGUUCGAGACGCACGAGUUCUACGACGGCAGCCCCGCGGUGAAGCUCGCCGCCCCGCGGCCCACGCCGCCGCCACCUUCUGCCCUCCCGUCUUCUACUAGAGACGGGAUAAGGUGGCGACAACAUGCGGCGACAGUAUCAGCCGUUGUUCUCGGCGUCGCGGUUAUCCUCAUGUCCCUAUCUAUGAUCUUCCUAUGGAGAAAUAAGGCCACGACACAACUCUCUUACCAAGAAGAUGAUGAAGACCCUGAAUCACUUCUGUUUGACCUGCCAACGUUGAGGCAAGCAACGGACAAUUUCGCCGAAGAGAAUAAGCUUGGGCAUGGAGGCUUUGGGGCAGUAUACAAGGGGUUUUUGCCUAAUGGGCGGCAAAUAGCUGUGAAGAGACUGGACAAAGCUUCAGGGCAAGGUGUGAAGGAACUGAGGAAUGAGCUACUGCUGGUAGCCAAGCUCCGGCACAACAAUCUGACAAAGCUUCUCGGCGUGUGCUUGAAGGGGAAGGAGAAGUUGGUGGUGUACGAGUACCUGCCCAACCGAAGCCUCGACAUCUUUCUUUUCGCGCCUGAAAUUGAGAAGCGCCAAUUAUUGAACUGGGAGACAAGGUACCGUAUAAUCUACGGGACGACACGAGGCCUCCUGUACCUCCACGAGGACUCGCAGGUAACGAUCUUACACCGCGAUCUCAAGGCCAGUAACAUCCUGCUCGACACCGAUAUGAACCCCAAGAUCUCGGAUUUCGGCCUGGCCAGGCUCUUCGACGGCGACAGGCCGAGUACCGUCACCAGCCAAGUUGUCGGAACACUUGGAUAUAUGGCGCCGGAGUACGCAGUUCGAGGUCGCCUGUCGGUCAAGAUAGACGUGUAUAGCUUCGGCGUUCUGGUGCUGGAGAUCGUUACGGGAAGGAAAAACACCGACUUGCUUGAAGAAUCAUCCUUGGAAGACUCCGGCACCAUGCUCAGCUAUGUAUGGGGCCAGUGGCUGAAGGGAACGCCGCUGGAGACGACGGACCCGUCGCUGGACUGCAAGAUGGUCGCGGGGGAGGAGGGCGAGGUGAUCAAGUGCAUUCACCUGGGGCUCCUCUGCGUGCAGGAGAACCCGGCGGACCGCCCGGCCAUGCUGGACGUCCUCGUGAUGCUGCACGGCCACGCGUCGGACUUCCCGGCGCCGUCCAAGCCGGCGUUCACUUUCGCACGCGGCGGCGAGACCGAUGACAGCGCGUCCGGGUCAGAGCCGGGCGCCCAAGCAUCAGCAACUGCGCCGUCCGUCAACGAGACGUCUUUAUCGGAGUUCCAGCCGAGAUAG
rnacentral:rRNA from 1 species